rnacentral:rRNA from 1 species
UUGACCUCAAAUCAGGCGGGACUACCCGCUGAACUUAAGCAUAUCAAUAAGCGGAGGAAAAGAAACUAACAAGGAUUCCCCUAGUAACUGCGAGUGAAGCGGGAUGAGCUCAAAUUUAAAAUCUGGCGUCUUCGGCGUCCGAGUUGUAAUUUAGAGAAGUGUUUUCCGCGCCGGACCGUGUACAAGUCUCCUGGAACGGAGCGUCAUAGAGGGUGAGAAUCCCGUCUUUGACACGGACCCCCGGUGCUCUGUGAUACGCUCUCGAAGAGUCGAGUUGUUUGGGAAUGCAGCUCAAAAUGGGUGGUGAACUCCAUCUAAAGCUAAAUAUUGGCGAGAGACCGAUAGCGAACAAGUACCGUGAGGGAAAGAUGAAAAGCACUUUGGAAAGAGAGUGAAACAGUACGUGAAAUUGUUGAAAGGGAAACGCUUGAAGUCAGUCGCGUCCGCCAGGAUUCAGCCUCACGGUGUACUUUCUGGUGGACGGGCCAGCAUCACUUUCGAUCAUCGGACAAGGGCGAGAGGAAUGUGGCACCUCCGGGUGUGUUAUAGCCUCUUGUCGUAUACGGUGACCGGGAGUGAGGACCGCCUUUUGUAGGAUGCUGGCGUAA